GGGUCUGUAGCUUAGUUGGUUAGAGCGCACCCCUGAUAAGGGUGAGGUCGGAGGUUCAAAUCCUCCCAGACCCACCA
rnacentral:tRNA from 1 species